rnacentral:rRNA from 1 species
GUAGUCUCGCACAGAUGCAUAUCAAUAAGCGGAGGAAAAGAAACUAACAAGGAUUCCCUUAGUAACGGCGAGUGAAGCGGGAAGAGCUCAAAUUUGAAAUCUUCAAGGUUCUACCUUGACGAAUUGUAGUUUAAAGAAGUGUUUUCUGUUAGAUGAGUAGCAAAAGUUCCUUGGAAUGGGACAUCAUAGAGGGUGAGAAUCCCGUAUUUGGUUAUUCAUUCUAGCUUUGUGAUACACUUUCAAAGAGUCGGAUUGUUUGGGAAUGCAGUCCAAAAUGGGUGGUAAAUUUCAUCUAAAACUAAAUAUUGGCGAGAGAACGAUAGCGAACAAGUACCGUGAGGGAAAGAUGAAAAGAACUUUGAAAAGAGAGUUAAACAGUACGUGAAAUUGUCAAAAGGGAAGCGUUUGACACCAGUGUUGUUUUUCUGAAAAUCAAUUAAAGAACUGUUUAUGCUAAGUUGUUUAGACUUUAUCAGCUAACUGUUUAGUUUUGAGCUUUUCUUUAAUGCACUUUUCAGUUAACAAGUCAACAUCAAUUUCUUUUGCUGUAAAAAAGCUUGAGGAAGGUGGCUUGAGAUUCGUCUUAAGUGUUUAUAGCCUCUUGCCUAUGCAGUCGGAGAGAUUGAGGUCUGCAGCGUAGAUCCUUCGGGGCUAAAUGCAUUUGUGCUAAGUUAUAGCAUUUUAUAGACAACUUGUUGACUAUAAUUUGUCUUGUAGCUUACUCGCUUAUGUUAUUUUACCUACGCUUAGGAUGUUGAACUCUAUCACACACAG